AGCAGCCGCGGUAAUUCCAGCUCCAAUAGCGUAUAUUAAAGUUGUUGCAGUUAAAAAGCUCGUAGUUGAAUUUCGGGAUUGACGUGAUGGUCGUGCCUUAAGGGGUAUGAACUGUCGCAGUUGAUUUCUCACCUUCUGGAGAAGCUUGAUGUCCUUAAUUGGGUGUCAUGUGGAACCAGGACCUUUACCUUGAAAAAAUUAGAGUGUUUAAAGCAGGCAUUUUGCUCGAAUACAUUAGCAUGGAAUAAUAGAAUAGGACGGCAUGGUUCUAUUUUGUUGGUUUCUAGGAUCACCGUAAUGAUUAAUAGGGAUAGUUGGGGGCAUUAGUAUUCAAUUGUCAGAGGUGAAAUUCUUGGAUUUAUUGAAGACUAACUACUGCGAAAGCAUUUGCCAAGGAUGUUUUCAUUAAUCAAGAACGAAAGUUAGGGGAUCGAAGACGAUCAGAUACCGUCGUAGUCUUAACCAUAAACUAUGCCGACUAGGAAUCAGACGAUGUUAAUUUU
rnacentral:rRNA from 1 species